rnacentral:lncRNA from 1 species
AAAACUGGCGGACUGAGAGCAAAAAUAAACAAAGCUGUCUUCUUUCUCGCUUUCUUUCAAAAGCAGAUUCGAGUGAGUGGUCAGUUCUUUGGAGUUAUCGGCUGGGAGAGUGAGAAAGAGAGCUCUGCAUUUCUCCUUAGGCAGCAACAGCCGAGAGAGGAAAAAGAAAAGAGCAACCGAACAGCUUUUCCAUUUCUGCACUUUUUAACCAACCAAAGCCGAGAGCUAAGAGGACAAACCAGUCUGCAACUACAAGUAUCAGCUACAUCAGUGAGGAGAAAAGGAUAGCGGGUGCAAGAGUGGAGGAACCAAAGCCGAGGGAGAGGACAGUGAUCUGUAAUUAUCGAGCUUUGGGAAAGAAAAGGUAAGAAUCUGUAACCACGCUUUUAUUUCUUGAAUAUAACUGAGAAUAGGGGCUGCAUGUUGGGUUUUAGCCAGGAAUAACAAGAUUUAGCUGAAGAGAAUUCUGAUAUGGAAGAAAAAUAGGAGUUGGACUGAAGUUGGGGAACCGAGAGCUUGCAUGUUGAGUUGCAGCCUGUUAUUAUUGUAAAAAUGGAAACUAAUGAUAGGUUUUGCAUGUAAUACGUUGGCUUCUGAUGUUUUGGGAAGUUUAGUUGAAGAAAACUUGGGAAAAGGUGGAACUUUGGGUUGAGACCGUAGGAAGAAACAUGCUGGAAUUUUUCCAGCUUCACCCGAGAGGAAGAAACUGAAUUUUGUAGCUUAGUAACCGAGUAUAUGGAGUAAUUUUCUGCUAGAAGCUCAAACCAUGUGUUAUUUCCUUGUCUUAUCUGAGUAACUAGUGCAGAGUUGUUAGCUUGAGUGAAAAAUUUGCAAGAAUUAACUAGUGGUUUUGUCUAGCUAGCCGAGAGAUGAAGAAAGAAAAUUUUCCAGAUUUCUGGUUCCAAAUUCGUCGAAGUUGAAUACCUUGCAUAAUCUUUUAGUUUUAGCAUGCAUGUUGGAUUUGAAUGGGAAAUAAAGUAGUUAAUGGAGAAGUUCUUGUUUAAAAACUAAUUGCUGUCCAAAACAGUCACAGCUUGACCGAGAGAGAGAAGUAGACUUCAGAUUGUUCUGCGUAGCUUUUGGGUUGAAUAACUUGUUGAAAUUAGAUGCUAUUUGCCUUGUUAUAUGCUGGACUGAAUGUAACUUAAGUAUUUAGAGCUUUAAGCAAGUGAAAGAAUAGAGUUUUUGCUUAAAGUUUGAAGUAACGUUACUAGAAUUUUUGUGGUUGCUGUCCAAGAAAAUGAAACAGAUUGUGCUUCUGACCGUCCCUUUUUUACCUUGAAAAUGCAAGAACUGGGUGUCGAUAUCUUCAUAUGAAAUGUAGGUAUAUGUCUUAGUUUCAAAACGCUAUAAAAUUUACCUCAAUCUGAUAAGUAUAGCUCCAGUUAUGAUGAAAACACCAGAGAGUGGCAAUGCAGAAUAUUGGCCGAGGGAGUGAAGCAGAAUGUGCUUCUAUCCGGCCAUUUUUGACCCUGAAAAUGUGAGAACUGGGUGUCAAUGUCUUCACAAAAAAUGUAGGUCUAUAUCUUAGCUUUGAAACGCUAUAAAAUUUGCCUCAAUCUGAUAAGCGUAGCUCCAGUUAUGAUCAAAACACCAGAGGAUGGCAAAGCUACCUUUCUCGUUGCCUUUCCUUUUGUUCCCGAAUGCACUUUGAUAAGAUGCUAACCGUGAGGAACCAACUUUUAACCAGCAUUUCUUCUAAUUUCCAACCUUGUAAGCUUUCAUAAAUAAUAGCUAUGAUUGUUCUGAGAAUCAACGGCUAUACCUAGUUUCAAGAGUAGAGUUAAACUAAGGCAAUUGAGUGAAAAACUCACAAUAGUUAUAUACCUAAAUUGGCUUCUAAUUACUUAAUAUUGUCUUCACAAAUAUUUUAGAGUAUAAAAUUUGAGGGACUGGCGUAGUGGAAUAAAAAUUAAUUUACAAAUAACCUAGAGUUUAAUUAAUUAAAAAGCGGACCAAUGGAGUACUCCUAAACCGUAAUCUUAGAAUCUUAAAUGGAAAAUAAUUUAAUCCAAAAAUAAAUAUUUUAUAAAUUAUUAACUUGAAAAAAAAUACAUAUAUUCUUGAUUUAAUAUAAUAAAGUUAAUAAGUUUCGAAAUAAAAUGCGGAAUAAAUAUUGGAGGAUCAAUAUUGAGUAUAUUUGUAUUUUAAGGUCAAACUUGACUUUAAUCGAUCAAAUAAUAGGAUAAUAAAUAAUAAGUGAACAUCUACAAAUUAUAUAUUUACUUUGGAAUUAUUAAUUUGCCCAGGAAGUAGCUGUGAGCCAGGAAAACAACCCGAGACUCGAGAGUAAUUUAUUUGGAUAAUUGGUGAGUGUUUUCAGAAUUUAUGUGUUAAACUAUUUAUGUGUACCUAAGUGAAAUUAUGUGACAAAUGUGCUUAUUAUGAAUUAUUACUAAAUGAUUCAGUGUAAAGUUUAUCUCAAUUGUCCCUCGCCUUCUAAAUCAGGAGUGUACUUCAUCGCACUCAAUUUAGUUGAGUUUGAAGGUCGAUAAUUGACUGAAUGUUACUGUAAGUGUGCAUGAAUGUAAGUCGUGUGUGUGGGUGUUGAUCUUGAUCCCUAUCUUUUGAUGUUUACAAGACAAAUGGAUGUUACUAAUGUCUCUUAAAAGAUCUAUUCAGUUAUGAAACAAAUUAGUUCCAAAGAUCAAGUACAAUUGAAAGAUGACAAAGUAUGCUGAAACUGUCGGACGCUCAAGAAGUCAGAAUCGGACGUCCGAUAAUCAUUGCACAACUUCGGACGUCCGAUCGGAUCCUUCGAAGUCGACGAAACUAUCGGACGCUGAAUAUGUCUCUACCGGACGUCCGAUAGAAACAAGAUAAUUUCUCAAAUCUGUUUGUUUGCACCGGACGUCCGAAAGAAUUGAAGAAAAUCUCUGAAACUCACUGCCUGCUGUCGGACGCAUAAAACAGAGCUAUCGGACGUCCGACACUCCAACGGCUAGUUGACUCUUCAACUACUUUCUAUCCGUUGGAAACUUUAAUGAGGCUCUUUCUUGGUCCUAUAUAAAUAGUGAUUGGUCAGAUACUUCAAACAACUUUGGCACACUGAAGAUAUAAAAGAUCUAGAGAGAUUUUAGUGAGAAAAUACUCUUCAAAGAAGAUUUGUAGUCUUAGUGGUGUAAGGUUCAUUGUAAGUUUUUCAUUUGUGAGUGAAUACUUCAUGAGUGUAGGUCUGUGAGGGUUGUCCUGAGGGAUAGUAAAACGUCCUGAUUUGACCGAGGGAUUCGGGGUAAGGAGGAGGUGAACCUUCCUUUGUACACAAGAGUGAUUGUAAUUCAUCAAUUUGAAGUAACUUGUUUGAAGCUCAAGAGGAGCUGGAUAGUUAAUUGGUUUGCAAUUCUUUCCUUUUACUUAUUGUUACAUUUAUGAUCUUUGCAUUGUUUAUCUCUUUCACUUGGUUGUUUCCGAUCCUUACAAUUGGUAUCAGAGGUUGGUCUCCUUGAGAUUAAGCUCAAUCGGCUUGGGAGUAAAAAUGACAACCAAUAAUGCUAUGUUUUUUGAAGGACAUUCUGUUAUUAGACCACCUAUGUUUAAUGGGUCAAAUUAUAUGAGUUGGAAAGAAAGAAUGAUUAUCUUUUUGCAAUCUAUUGAUAUCGAAUUGUGGUUUAUUAUUAGUGAAGGUCCAUAUGAUGCCUCUCUUAUAGAUGAAAAUACUCAUGCAUCUAGACCGAAAACAAGAAGUGAACUGACUGCUGUGGAUAGAGCUCAUCUCACCUUAAAUGCAAAAGCCAUGAAUGUGUUAUAUUGUGCAUUAGACUCAAAUGAAUCUAUUAGAGUCAAGGGUUGCAAGUCAGCUAAAGAAAUUUGGGACAAACUGAAAGAAAUUCAUGAAGGUAGUGAGAAUGUUAGAGAACAAAAGAAGUCCAUUCUAGUUACAAAGUAUGAAUCUUUCAAGAUGGAACCUCAUGAAAAUGUUGAUCAAAUGUAUUGUAGAUUCAAUGAUCUCAUUAAAGAUUUAGAGGUGCUGGAAAAAGAAUAUUCUCUUGGUGAGAAAAAUAGAAAAAUCCUGAAUGCCUUGUCCAAUGAUUGGGAAAAUAAAGUGACUGCUAUUGAGGAGGCUAGAGAUUUGAAUACUAUGCCUAUUGAAUCUCUUAUUAAUUCUCUUACCUCUUAUGAGCUGAAACUUAAGACUAAGGUGCAAGAGGAAGAGGAUGCAAAAGUGCGAAAGAAUAUUGCUCUAAAAGCCUCACAAGAUGAAGAUGAUUCUGCCUCCCUAGAUGAAGAAGAUGUGGAAGGUGAUGACAAUGAUAUCGCUCUCAUCACAAGAAGUUUCAAACGAAUACUCAACAAGAGGAGAUUCAGAAAAGGUGGACCUAGCAAUUCAUUCCCAAAUCAGUUCAACAACUCGAGAAACAAAGGGAAGCUAGAGUUCAACAAAAAGCAAACUGAUCAGUGCUUUGAAUGCGGCCAACCUGGACACUAUGCAAGUGACUGUCCAGUGAUGAAGAAGAAAGAAGGAAGAAAACCAAGAAUAAACAAAUUUCAAUUCACAUGGAAUGAAUGCAAUUCCGAUGGUGAAAUUGAAGAGGAAGAUCAAUCUGCUCAAUUGGCUUUCAUGGCCAUUGGAGAUGAUGAGGUAACAUCUUCUAACUCUCAAUCUGAUUGUGAUGAUGAAACUGAAGAUGAUCUUGAACAUUUCAUUAUAAAAUUGCAUGAUAGUUUGAAAGAAUCUUAUGCUAGAAACAAGGAGUUAAAACAGAAAAUUAGUUUUUUUUCGAGAUAAUGCAAAUCUUUUUCAACAAAAAAAAAGUUGAUUGCUGAAAAUGAUUACUUCAAAAAGAGUGAGACUGCUUUACAUUUUGAGCUUGAUAGAAAAGAAACUUUGUGAUUUGUUCAAAAAGGAACAAGGUGAUUUGAAAAGAAGAAUGGAUGGUCUAAAUGAGUUGCUUAAACACAAGAAACAAGUCUGUUUUCAAAAGAAUAGGUUGAAUUCUAAUUCAAAUGAGUUUGCUAUCCAUAGGAGAAGACAAUAAGAUUUAUUAAACCUGUUCAUGUAAAUAACUCUUUGGUUAUGUGUAAUUUUUGUUGUCAAAAAGGUCACAUGAAUAGUGAUUGUUAUGUGAGAAAAAAUAUGAGAAGAGGCAUGAAAUGCAUGUGGAUAGUUAGACAUGAUGCUAAUUUUAACAAGUAGGAGGUUUUGUCUAAUCAUUGCAGUGAUUCUUGUUCAUAAUAUUUUUUCUUUUGAUACUUUGAUCUGAGUUUUCGCUGAUAUCUUUGAAUACUACUGAAUCUAUAUGAUGUCAAAAAGAGAGAUAAAAGAAUAAUGCUGAUCUCAUGAUGAUUUGCUGUGAUUGCUGUCAUUUCUCUAUUUUUUCUUGGAAUAUUGAAUUCUCUGUUAUUGUUGCUGGAUUAUAGUAGUUGAUUUUUACUCUUAUGAUGACAAAAAGGGGGAGAAAUGGAUGCAAUGUGUAAGGGGGAGUUAUUCUGAGAUUAUGAGUUUGGCUCUUAAAAGUUUUGGUUGCAAUGAUUGAGGGGGAGCUUAUACUUAUUUUUGUUUCUUUCCAUCCAUUGUUUUGUCAUCAUCAAAAAGGGGGAGAUUGUUGAUCUUGAUCCCUAUCUUUUGAUGUUUACAAAACAAAUGGAUGUUACUAAUGUCUCUUAAAAGAUCUAUUCAGUUAUGAAGCAAAUUAGUUCCAAAGAUCAAGUACAAUUGAAAGAUGACAAAGUAUGCUGAAGCUGUCGGACGCUCAAGAAGUCAGGAUCGGACGUCCGAUAAUCAUUGCACAACUUCGGACGCAUGCUUCGGACGUCCGAUAGGAUCCUUCGAAGUCGACGAAACUAUCGGACGCUGAAUAUGUCUCUACCGGACGUCCGAUAGAAACAAGAUAAUUUCUCAAAUCUGUUUGUUUGCUGUCGGACGCACAAAGAGCUUGCACCGGACGUCCGAAAGAAUUGAAGAAAAUCUCUGAAACUCACUGCCUGCUGUCGGACGCAUAAAACAGGGCUAUCGGACGUCCGACACUACCAACGGCUAGUUGACUGUUCAGCUACUUUCUAUCCGUUGGAAGCAUUAAUGAGGCACUUUCUUGGUCCUAUAUAAAUAGUGUUGGUCAGAUACUUCAAACAACUUUGGCACACUGAAGAUACAAAAGAUCUAGAGAGAUUUUAGUGAGAAAAUACUCUUCAAAGAAGAUUUGUAGUCUUAGUGGUGUGAGGUUCAUUGUAAGCUUUUCAUUUGUGAGUGAAUACUUCAUGAGUGUAGCUCUGUGAGGGUUGUCCUGAGGGAUAGUAAAACGUCCUGGCUUGACCGAGGGAGUUCGGGGCAAGGAGGAGGUGAACCUUCCUUUGUACACAAGAGUGAUUGUAAUUCAUCAAUUUGAAGUAGCUUGUUUGAAGCUCAAGAGGAGCUGGGUAGUUAAUUGGUUUGCAAUUCUUUCCUUUUACUUAUUGUUACAUUUAUGAUCUUUGCAUUGUUUAUCUCUUUCACUUGGUUGUUUCCGAUCCUUACAGUGGGGCUGAACUGGACCCCAAAACCCACUGUUCAACGGACUAUUUGAGCCAGCAAAGGUUUGGUCGGGCUGGACGGUAGUUUUGGAUAAAUGUUUCGGUAUACUCGAGUAUUAUCACGAGGAUGGGAGAUCAUUGCACUAAUUAUUGAAUGUAGGGGCUUGUUUGUUGUUUUAGAGGACAUAAGGAGGUGAAUUGGAGGAAAGUACGGUGAUAUUCAAAUAAAUGUGCAAUGAUGCUGAAAUGAAUGUACAAUGAUAGUGAAAUGAGUGUCUCUUGACACUGAAAUGAAUGUUCAAUGACAUUGAAGUGGCUCUAAUGCGAGCACCGUAUCCUUUUAAAAGUGAUUAUUUAGUAAAGUGUUUCUUCAAUUGCUUAAUGAAAGUGAUUGUACAGUGAAAUGUGCACUACUUGCUUAAUUGUACUGAUUUAAGUGUUUAUUAAAUGUUACUUGCUCGGCAAAUCUCACUGAGUUUUAGCUCAACCCUUUAGUUUUGCUUUCCUUACAGAAGUUGGUGGUCGGAGAAACAAACGAGGGAUCUUAGGGAGUUAACGUGAAGACUUUCGUGAUUAUAAAUUAUCUAGUAUCAUACCACGACUGAAACUAUUGUAUUGAAUUUGGCAUUGUAAAAGUUUUGAACGUGUGGUUUUAGUAUACCACAAUAUUUUCUGUGAAGUUAAUGUAAGUGAGUGAGCUCUGACGGGAGUUAGGCAGAUGAUCCGCUAACUUCUAGGGUUCGCUCUAAGAGAAGGUAGGGUCGUCACACUCUUUCUAUGAAUGGGACAAUAGAUCGGAUCUACUCAAGUUUCUGCCAUCAAGAGUAACUUGAA